CCUAGUAAGCGUGAGUCAUCAGCUCGCGUUGAUUACGUCCCUGCCCUUUGUACACACCGCCCGUCGCUACUACCGAUUGAAUGGCUUAGUGAGACCCUCGGAUUGUAGGCUGUUCUGUUGGCAACAACAUACGGCUCGCGAGAAGUUGGUCAAACUUGGUCAUUUAGAGGAAGUAAAAGUCGUAACAAGGUUUCCGUAGGUGAACCUGCGGAAGGAUCAUUAAAAAAGAAUCGAAAGAUUCGCUUUUUUUGAAACUCUACUAUACUACUACUUUGUAGGCAGUAGAGUUUUUUCCAAACUCCGAUAAAACAUCGUCGCUUGACGAAAUCUCAAAUAAAAAUAAAAAAAACUUUCAACAAUGGAUCUCUUGGCUCUCGCAUCGAUGAAGAACGCAGCGAAUUGCGAUAAGUAGUGUGAAUUGCAGAAUUCUGUGAAUCAUCGAAUCUUUGAACGCAUAUUGCGCUCUCUGGUAUUCCGGAGAGCAUGCCUGUUUGAGGGUAAUUAAAUAAAUCUUUGACUAUUUUUUUAGUCAAGGGAUGUUGGGUUCUCCGCACUUUGUAGCGGUAGCCUGAAAUAUAUGGUUAGUCUCAUUUUGUUGAGAUGCGUAAUAAUAUUUAUUUCGCGAAAAAUCAUCAAUGAGAUUCUACCAAGUUUUGACGCAUACAGUCUAAUCUGUCUAAGUUGCCACGCUAACCCAAUGCGUUAAUACAAAUAUUUUUGAACAUUACCUCAAAUCAGGUAGGAAUACCCGCUGAACUUAAGCAUAUCAAUAAGCGGAGGAAAAGAAACUAACCAGGAUUCCCCUAGUAACGGCGAGCGAAGCGGGAAUAGCUCAAAUUUUAAAUCGGACUUUUGUUCGAGUUGUAAUUUGAAGAGACGUUUUCACGUCAUUUACCAGGUCUAAGUGCUUUGGAAUAAGCCAUCAGAGAGGGUGAGAAUCCCGUCUUUGAUCUGGUUAUUGGCGGUACGAUACGUCCUCUAAGAGUCGAGUUGUUUGGGAUUGCAGCUCAAAAUGGGUGGUAAAUUCCAUCUAAGGCUAAAUAUAGGCGAGAGACCGAUAGCGAACAAGUACCGUGAGGGAAAGAUGAAAAGCACUUUGAAAAGAGAGUUAAAUAGUACGUGAAAUUGUUGAAAGGGAAACGAUUGAAGCCAGUCGUGCCGGCGGAAAAUCAACUUAUAGGCUACUAUGAGUGCACUUUUUCGCAAGGCAGGUUAGCAUCGGUUUCAGUUGCGUUAUAAUAAUCAUGGGAAGGUAGCUUCUUCGGAAGUGUUAUAGCCUGUGGUAGAUGACGUGACAGAGACCGAGGAUUGCAGCGAAUGCCUUUUAGGCUACGUGUCUGGUCUCUGGCUAUCAGUAACUUGCUCGUCAGCUUGCUGAAGAACUCGUUAAGGAUUUUCAAAGGUUCAGAACGCGAUAAAUUCGCUAAGGAUGCUGACGUAAUGGCUUUAAACGACCCGUCUUGAAACACGGACCAAGGAG
rnacentral:sRNA from 1 species